ensembl:lncRNA
CUUUUUUUUUUCUUUAUUCCAUGAGACUUGGUGGAUAUGCUUAUUCUUUCAUUCAUAUACAGAGAAAUAGAAACAGACUAAGUGAUAAGUAAAGAUGUGUAAGUGGUGUUUAGCACCCACCUGCAGAUACAAUGUGGAGAAAGAAAAUGAUCUCAACAUUUCCAGACUUACUCUGCUCCUUGACUCUCACAGAGGGACAAGAGCAUGAUGUGCACUAGGCAGGAAGGGCAAUGAUCCAUGCCAAAUUUGAUAUGCUUGUGUUUCAUGCCAUGGUCUGUCUUUUUUUGUUUUUCCCUGCCAGCAGAUAGAUAAAGUGGUGGUUUUAGGACCAUGCAGGAGCCAAGAGCUGCACUGGUGUAUGCACCAGCAAAGGACUAACACAGACUAUUGAAGCUGGUAUGAGGCAAGCAUCUAGUUCAUACUUGCACUGCAACAGUCUGGGAGUGCCCCCAUGGGAAACAGGUAUGAGAUAAUUAAGGGAUCUUAAGCCACAAAAUAUUACAAGGAUACAAGACAAGAACAUUGCAAGGAUAAAAAUUUCAAACUGAAGGCAGCCAGAUGCAGAGUUGUAGAGAAAGCACCAUUUUUUCAGCCUGUGGGAGAUGAAAGCUAUUGGCAAACAUUAUGGAAGAUUUUCAUCAUAUGCAACUGCUAAAAUAGGCCUGGAUAUGUUACUGGGUUUUCAGUUUUGGUUUGGUUGGUUUGGUUUUUUUUUCAGGUUUUUUUUUUCUUUUUCCAUAGGAAGUAUGAUCUAGUUUAAACAGGAAUUAAUUCAAUUUAGCUGAUGGCCUGGGUUAUGCAAUAUCCAAAAGCCACAAUGGUUCUAUUAAGCCUUAUAGUCUAUGAAUCUGUAAGUUUAUGAAUCUAUACUUCAUAACUUUGCACCAAAAAGGAGGAUGAGGGAACACAGCAAAGUGACUGGAAAAAAAAGAAACCUUCAUAUUGCCUACAAAUCAGGCAUAACACUGAGUUUUCCCAAACCGUAACAGGCUGCUGCAUCAACCUGCCUCCUGGUCUUCCAUUUCUGGAGGCUCCCAGAUAGUCAUAGCCUGAAAAUGUUCCUACAUUCAACACGCAAAAUAAAAAGGCAGUAAAACAAGUGGGGGGAAAAAAGCUGUUCUUUUAUACUCUGUGUUUUUAAUUGAAGGGAUUAUAAAACACUUCAGGCAUGCUGAGAAAUCAUGACUUUGUUCCCAAAUAAAAAGCUGUAGCUAUUUUUUUUUUUAAAUCCUUGUUCAUCCUCCUCCAACAGUGGUUAUUAUAUGCAUGCAUUUGCAGUGUAAUAGAAUCAGUACCAAUCAUCUCUGUGUCUUAUUACUGUUGCAAUCCCCUAACACGCUGUUCCUUCCAUCCCACAUGAAUCUGGUAAUUACUGCUGAGGCAUGCCAUGCGUACACUUUCCCUUUCAAGGAAGCAUCAGCAGUUACCACAAACACAUUUCCUACGUACUAGUAAACACAGGCAAGUGGGACAGUAUCUGUUGCCCCAUGAGCCACUUCCAGGACAUGAUCCUUGCUCAUCAGAAAGCUGCAUGUCACUAAAACUCACAGACAUGAAACAAAUGUACGCUGCGAGAUGAGAAAUGCACUGGACUUACUUCUGCCUUCAGCUUUUGCUGUGUGUUGGAGCAAGCCCUGUGAGUGCUGGCAACGCCAUGCAGGGCUGCUCAGGUGAGAUGGUUGAAGGUAGGUUACAGAAAAGUGUGUGUUUCUGAGUGUGUCAGUGUGUGUGUGAAUAUGCUCCCUUCAGAAAACCAAAAACCAUUAACCUGGAUCUACUUUUACCUUCUCA